rnacentral:rRNA from 1 species
GGUUAAGCGACUAAGCGUACACGGUGGAUGCCCUGGCAGUCAGAGGCGAUGAAGGACGUGCUAAUCUGCGAUAAGCGUCGGUAAGGUGAUAUGAACCGUUAUAACCGGCGAUUUCCGAAUGGGGAAACCCAGUGUGUUUCGACACACUAUCAUUAACUGAAUCCAUAGGUUAAUGAGGCGAACCGGGGGAACUGAAACAUCUAAGUACCCCGAGGAAAAGAAAUCAACCGAGAUUCCCCCAGUAGCGGCGAGCGAACGGGGAGCAGCCCAGAGCCUGAAUCAGUGUGUGUGUUAGUGGAAGCGUCUGGAAAGGCGCGCGAUACAGGGUGACAGCCCCGUACACAAAAAUGCACAUGCUGUGAGCUCGAUGAGUAGGGCGGGACACGUGGUAUCCUGUCUGAAUAUGGGGGGACCAUCCUCCAAGGCUAAAUACUCCUGACUGACCGAUAGUGAACCAGUACCGUGAGGGAAAGGCGAAAAGAACCCCGGCGAGGGGAGUGAAAAAGAACCUGAAACCGUGUACGUACAAGCAGUGGGAGCACGCUUAGGCGUGUGACUGCGUACCUUUUGUAUAAUGGGUCAGCGACUUAUAUUCUGUAGCAAGGUUAACCGAAUAGGGGAGCCGAAGGGAAACCGAGUCUUAACUGGGCGUUAAGUUGCAGGGUAUAGACCCGAAACCCGGUGAUCUAGCCAUGGGCAGGUUGAAGGUUGGGUAACACUAACUGGAGGACCGAACCGACUAAUGUUGAAAAAUUAGCGGAUGACUUGUGGCUGGGGGUGAAAGGCCAAUCAAACCGGGAGAUAGCUGGUUCUCCCCGAAAGCUAUUUAGGUAGCGCCUCGUGAAUUCAUCUCCGGGGGUAGAGCACUGUUUCGGCAAGGGGGUCAUCCCGACUUACCAACCCGAUGCAAACUGCGAAUACCGGAGAAUGUUAUCACGGGAGACACACGGCGGGUGCUAACGUCCGUCGUGAAGAGGGAAACAACCCAGACCGCCAGCUAAGGUCCCAAAGUCAUGGUUAAGUGGGAAACGAUGUGGGAAGGCCCAGACAGCCAGGAUGUUGGCUUAGAAGCAGCCAUCAUUUAAAGAAAGCGUAAUAGCUCACUGGUCGAGUCGGCCUGCGCGGAAGAUGUAACGGGGCUAAACCAUGCACCGAAGCUGCGGCAGCGACGCUGAUGCGUUGUUGGGUAGGGGAGCGUUCUGUAAGCCUGCGAAGGUGUGCUGUGAGGCAUGCUGGAGGUAUCAGAAGUGCGAAUGCUGACAUAAGUAACGAUAAAGCGGGUGAAAAGCCCGCUCGCCGGAAGACCAAGGGUUCCUGUCCAACGUUAAUCGGGGCAGGGUGAGUCGACCCCUAAGGCGAGGCCGAAAGGCGUAGUCGAUGGGAAACAGGUUAAUAUUCCUGUACUUGGUGUUACUGCGAAGGGGGGACGGAGAAGGCUAUGUUGGCCGGGCGACGGUUGUCCCGGUUUAAGCGUGUAGGCUGGUUUUCCAGGCAAAUCCGGAAAAUCAAGGCUGAGGCGUGAUGACGAGGCACUACGGUGCUGAAGCAACAAAUGCCCUGCUUCCAGGAAAAGCCUCUAAGCAUCAGGUAACAUCAAAUCGUACCCCAAACCGACACAGGUGGUCAGGUAGAGAAUACCAAGGCGCUUGAGAGAACUCG